rnacentral:rRNA from 1 species
UACGAAGGGAGCUAGCGUUGUCCGGAAUCAUUGGGCGUAAAGAGCGUGUAGGCGGCCCGGUAAGUCUGGUGUGAAAUCUUGGGGCUCAACCCCAAGCUGUCACUGGAUACUGUCGGGCUUGAGUCCGGAAGAGGAGAGUGGAAUUCCUGGUGUAGCGGUGGAAUGCGCAGAUAUCAGGAGGAACACCUAUGGCGAAGGCAGCUCUCUGGUACGUGACUGACGCUGAGACGCGAAAGCGUGGGUAGCAAACAGG